AAGAUCAUACUUCACAGGAUCAUUUCUGUAGUAUGUCUUCAAUUCUCUCUAGUUCAAUACUGGAGUAGACGCAACCACGAUGAUGAGUGGUAGCACUUUCCCUGAGCGUGAGGCAUGCGGAAUGGGAUUCGUAGGAUCUCAUCUGCAAUCGAUGAUCGUUCACCAUGCCUUCCGGGGCGUGGGAAGGGAAUAGUGCUUUCCGAGUGGU
rnacentral:snoRNA from 1 species